rnacentral:lncRNA from 1 species
UUAGAAUUUAAUUUAUAAGUUCAUUAAAUCCAAUAGCUAAGAUCGAAUAUGAUCAAAUCUAACAAUUAAAAAAAUCUAAAAGCUUAAAAUUAAAUUCAACGGCUAAAAUAAUAAAAAAAAAGUACUUAGAUCAAAAUUCACUGUCCUCAUACAAUUCUUCCAUUCUUUCUUUCUACCCACUUCCAAAACUAUGUCUUCUCAUUUCCAAAUUUUUCAAGAUGGCAAAAUAUCAUAUUAGCGGUACUAAUUGGUGAAAUGAUGAACAUUGAAGCAUAUUUAAUGAUUUUUCAUUAUUUAUCGAAAUUUUAACAUUUUUAGAUUAAAAUGUUCAUAAAAGUAAAUAGGAUAAUCUACAUAAAUUUUAUUAUUAUAAUUACCAGAAGAAAAAAAAUCAGGUUAAAUUCAUUCUUUAAUCUCUCGGGCUAAAAUUUAUGACAAAAUCAUUGGAGAAAAAAAAAUUGUUUUUCGAUUAAAACCUAAUGGCCCCUUUGGUAUCCUACUAAAAAAAAUUCUUCCUUUUUUAAAAUAUUUUUAAGACCAUAUCUUAAGAUCAGUUUUUUAUAAAACUAAAAGACUUGUUUGGUAUGACACAAAAUUGUAAGUCUUAACAAUUUAAAAAACUAAAAAACAAAGCUUUGCCAACAACAACUGCUGGAGCCGAAGGAGGGAGAUCGAGAUUAGAAGAUAUAAAGGAGAGAGAGAAGCAAAUGGAAGAGAGGGGAUAGAGAAUGAGAUAAGAAUGAGGAGUGAGAGAUGAAAAAAUGAGAAUCUCUAGAGAGAGGGGAUAAGAGUGGGCUUUUAGUUUUAAAAUUUUUAAAAACAAUCUUCUAUAUUUUCAUGGAGUAAACUAUAUUUUCAAGUUUCGAUGAAAAAAAAACUAUAUUUUUAAGUUAGUUUUGAGUCCAGCCUUAUCAAACAAGAAUUAUAAGCUUGAGACUCAAAAACAGUUUUGAGUUGAAAAAAAGUUGAACUCUAGUAAAAUACUAACCCUAAAUUUUUUUAAAAAUAUAGGGCUUGUGUUGGUAUUCAACUUGAAUCCAACUUUUUAAAUUCAAAAACACUUUUCAAGUUUUAAGCCUUGGAAACUUGUUUUGUAUGACUCUUUUUAAAAAUUGGACUCAAAACUAACUAAAGAAUUAACCUAUUUCUUAGAAAUAUCAAAAGUGUGUUUUUAGAAUUUUUAAAUUUAAAGCUCACUUUCUCUCUUUAUUUUUUCUCUCACACUUAGGGGGGUGUAUUCAAUUGGGAUUUUAAGGGAUUUUAAUUCUU